rnacentral:rRNA from 1 species
AUGAACGCUGGCGGCGUGCCUAAUACAUGCCAGUCGAGCGAACAGACGAGGAGCUUGCUCCUCUGACGUUAGCGGCGGACGGGUGAGUAACACGUGGAUAACCUACCUAUAAGACUGGGAUAACUUCGGGAAACCGGAGCUAAUACCGGAUAAUAUAUUGAACCGCAUGGUUCAAUAGUGAAAGACGGUUUUGCUGUCACUUAUAGAUGGAUCCGCGCCGCAUUAGCUAGUUGGUAAGGUAACGGCUUACCAAGGCGACGAUGCGUAGCCGACCUGAGAGGGUGAUCGGCCACACUGGAACUGAGACACGGUCCAGACUCAUACGGGAGGCAGCAGUAGGGAAUCUUCCGCAAUGGGCGAAAGCCUGACGGAGCAACGCCGCGUGAGUGAUGAAGGUCUUCGGAUCGUAAAACUCUGUUAUUAGGGAAGAACAAAUGUGUAAGUAACUAUGCACGUCUUGACGGUACCUAAUCAGAAAGCCACGGCUAACUAC